GCCUGGGUAGCUCAGUGGUAGAGCAGCUGUUUUGUAAACAGCAGGUCACGAGUUCGAGUCUCGUCUCAGGCU
rnacentral:tRNA from 1 species